UUGUGAAACAGGCAUGACCAGGCAAAGGCCACACACGUACCACAAUUGAAGCUGCCCAACCUUCUCCCCCUCCCCCUGUCGUCAGCUUAUCUCCACAUGGACCUGCUACAAACUGUUCGGAGAAGGGAAUUUGUAGAGUCAUUGGACGACAUAACGACGAAGGGUCGCAACCCAGUGUAGACUUGAGUAGGCCCGCUGUCAUCCACUGGUGCAAGCCGCCCGCCAUGUCGAAGUCGUGUGCACCGCAAGUUUCUACUCCGUUCUAGCACGUCCAAAUCAAGUUCCUCCUUCUUGAAACUUCGUAGAGUGAUAUAUUAGGUUCUAUGCUAGUCGAGAAAAUAGUACUGUGAGUUCGAGCGUGGUUGUAAUGAGUUAAAUCCGUGUUUAGAUCCAACCGCCCUCCCCACGUCUCCAGUUCAAACUCUUUAACUCAUGGCGGCCACUUGCAUAAUUAAUGAGCAUCGUGACAUCUUGCCAGGCACCAGCACCAAGCUGAAGCUCUGGAGAUAUGCAUGGGAUUUGAUAAAGAAACAGCCAAGUGGAUGCAGAAUUCACAAGACAUCAAACCUAUGGGAAGAACGACUUAAGUGUUUCCUGGAUGAAUAAAGAUAAAAACUUAGGGAAGGUGGACUGAGAUGUACAGCUGAAAGGUGUAGACAGAUACCGCCAUGCCACAGAUCAAGGAGUGGACAGAGGAAAUCUUCGCUCAGCUGAGGAGUCAAAGUAUAACUCUCAGGUCCAAAGGACCUGUUUACUGUGAGGACAGUAGGAGGCAAAAAGCAGGUACAGAGGAAAAUGCAGGUGAAGAGUCAGACAGUUCACAUGAGCAGGAGAAUCAGUCAGAUGAUUCACUGAAAGAAGAGACAAGAAUUCAGGUACCUCUCUGUUUUGAGUAGAACUGACUCAC